CGCAGGGCCCUUGGGGGAGCCUGCAGGGUGGGCACGAGUCUCUGUCGGAGCCCGCCUCGCUGGCCUGAGCUCUGUCACUCUCUUCCUGCUGCUGCUCGGCCGGGGACUCGGUUUAAGCGAGGGCCGGGCACUGUCUGGCACUGCUCACCAGGGAAGCCCAAGGGCUGUGCUGGAAGUUUCUCUGGAGACUACAGGGGUCCCGACCGCAAGAAGCCUGAGCCGGGAAAAUCCUACGGUGACAUCACGGACGGGGAGCAAGGUCACGACGCGACCGAGGCCACUCUCCAAGGGGACCAGCAGUGGCCAGCGCUGCAGACCAAGGGCCGCUCCUGCGCCUUGUGCUCGGCACAGCCAGCUCCUGAGCCACCGUCCCCCGCCUGUGGAGCCCGGGAGGCAAGGGUCAGCUUCCCUGAACGGCAGCCUCGCCCCCAUCAUGGCCGGCACAACCUAAACCGAGUAACGAUGAUGAGCCCGCGGGCAGCCCUGCCUGCAGCCCUGGCCCGCUCUCUCCCCGGCACUGUACAGAAAUAUGAGACUGGACCCAGCUCUGAAGACAGCUGGCCUGGGAUCUUUUCGAAGCUUCGGGCUGUGAACGUGGCGAGCUGCCCGGGGAGCUGGGGGCACAGGCCACACCCCAGGGUUCCGAGCGUUUUGUUCCCGCGGGUUCAAGGAGCAGCCGGACCCGUGUGCACCCAGAGCCUCGCCGGGCGCGGUCACCGCUGGAUGUGGGCACGAGAGUCACAUGAAGGACUCAACAGGCGAGUUCCCCAGAUGCAUUCCUGUGGUCUGCCGGCUGUGUUUAGUGAUUUAGUCACGACUUCAAGGCUCUAAUUACAGGGUUUUGUUUUUAUUUUUAAGAACAGUGUAGUCUUGACAUGAGCAGUCCCUGCAGUGCACCUUCUCUGCUUUAUCAACAGCCCCUUCCUGACAGACCCGGUGCUGGGCGGUCUGCACACCCUGACACUCAGAGACCUCGGGUUUCGAGGCUGCGAGGCUCAGCGAGGCUGGUUAAACCCCUACCUCGUGUGUAAGCCUCAUCCGAGGGAGUGAUACUAGAGGCCUGAGGGGGAAGGCUGGCUGUUAGCUGGGUUAGCGCUUUCUGAGUCUGUUUGGUUCACUGUAUUUACCGGAUUUUAAUAGGAGUUAAUUUAUGUGGCUACAAGGCCAGUGAGGCUAUUAUCUUGUACUGGGAAAAGCUGCCAUCACCCAACUAGGGAGUGUAGCUCUAAACGUCUUCCUGUGCAGCCUGAAUCACACAGUGAGGACUCCGGGGUUUGAAUGAGAGUAUUCUGGACAGCGGUGAUGGACGCAACAGUGACGGGCCCUGAGUACGUGCCUCCUCCGCUGGGCGCCCACCUGUCGCCUGUCCUCACGGAGCCCUUCCGACCACCUAGAUCCUGUCUCACUGGGUGAGAGGCACCUGUGAACCUGCUGCCCAGGUCGGGGGUCAGGUGGCCACACCAGACUCUGUGUUCCCCGGAACCCCUACUCGAGGACAGCUUCAUGGGGGCAUCACCAGCGGUGACUGGAGCCCCAGGACUGCUGUGCUGGGUGCAGAGGAUUCAAGGUCCUGACUGUGCUGGUUGUGGGGGAGGUCUCUGUCACAGGCGGAGCGUUUUAGGGCUGGUCGUUCACCCUGUCUCUUCCUCGUGGGGAUCGGGGCAGGGGGGCAGGGGCGGUUGGGCCCCAAGCUGGGAACGGGGCCCCGCAGAGCGUCUGCCACCAGGCAAACGGAGCCCUUGGUGUCAGGGGGCCAGAACUCCAGGUCAGGACCCUGCCAGGCUGUGGCUGCACGGGAUGGAGCCGAGUCAUCAGGGGCCCGCAGCCCCGC
ensembl:lncRNA